CAGGGCCCUGGUUUUCAAUGGCUGUAUCAGAUGGAGCUUUAUCUCUGCAAAUGAUGUUUCUUGCAGAGAAAUUGCCCCUCCUUCAUCAAGAAUGUGAACUGUAAGACAUCCUCAGUUACAGAAGCAGGCAAUACCCUGGGAAGUUCAAAAGCUGAGAGAACUCUCCAAAGAAAUUGAGAUCCAUUGUUUUAGGAAGAUUAUAUUCCAGAGACAUUCAUUCAAGACCCUGGAGUGGCCUGAAGUAGUCAAUAGAGGUAAAGCAAGAGAAGCGGAUUCAGGUGAGGAGAGGGAAAGACCAGACUCCCCACCUCCAUCGCUGCUGAGCCCUGCAGAGAGAAACCAUCAAGGCAGAAGGCUGCUGGCAAGUCUGAGAGGGAAUUAGGGUAAAGGGACAGUCAGAUCUCUGAAGGAACAACAACAGCAAAAUGACACGCUGGGAGUCAAAUAAGCCAGGCACGUUCAUUACUAUUAUAUGAUUAAUGUUAUUUGAUAUACAGUAGGUCCCAUAUACGGAGAAGGCAAUGGCACCCUACUCCAGUACUCUUGCCUGGA
rnacentral:lncRNA from 1 species